ACCUAUUUUUCCGUUUUCCCCAUUUAUAUGGUAAAUUUCCUCAGGAGUUUUCCAUAUAAAUGGGGAGAACGGAAAAAUAGGU